rnacentral:rRNA from 1 species
UACGGAGGGUGCAAACGUUGCUCGGAAUCAUUGGGCGUAAAGCGCACGUAGGCGGACUGUUAAGUCGGACGUGAAAUCCCUCAGCUUAACUGAGGAAGUGCAUUCGAAACUGGCAGUCUUGAGUACGGGAGAGGGUCGCGGAAUUCCCGGUGUAGAGGUGAAAUUCGUAGAUAUCGGGAGGAACACCAGUGGCGAAGGCGGCGGCCUGGACCGAUACUGACGCUGAGGUGCGAAAGCGUGGGGAGCAAACAGG